rnacentral:rRNA from 1 species
AUUGAACGCUGGCGGCAUGCUUUACACAUGCAAGUCGAACGGUAACAGGCCGCAAGGUGCUGACGAGUGGCGAACGGGUGAGUAAUGCAUCGGAACGUGCCUAGUCGUGGGGGAUAACUACUCGAAAGAGUAGCUAAUACCGCAUACGAUCUAUGGAUGAAAGCGGGGGACCGUAAGGCCUCGCGCGAUUGGAGCGGCCGAUGUCAGAUUAGGUAGUUGGUGGGGUAAAGGCUCACCAAGCCAACGAUCUGUAGCUGGUCUGAGAGGACGACCAGCCACACUGGGACUGAGACACGGCCCAGACUCCUACGGGAGGCAGCAGUGGGGAAUUUUGGACAAAGGGCGCAAGCCUGAUCCAGCAAUGCCACGUGCAGGAAGAAGGCCUUCGGGUUGUAAACUGCUUUUGUACGGAACGAAACGGCUCUGGUUAAUACCCGGGGCUAAUGACGGUACCGUAAGAAUAAGCACCGGCUAACUACGUG